UAUCAUACCUGGCAAGAGAUAUACAAUGAUCAAGAAGGUGGUCUUUUUGGGGCGAGGCUCACCCAUUGCACUCUGGAUAUGCUGACCCCUGUGAUUUCCUCAACUGUGGGAAACAACUGCAAAAUUUGUGGUAGUGGGGGACUGCAUUCAUGCUCUCCCCUA